rnacentral:rRNA from 1 species
CCUACGGGAGGCAGCAGUGGGGAAUUGUUCGCAAUGAGCGCAAGCCUGACGACGCAAUGCCGCGUGGAGGAUGAAGAUCUUCGGGUCGUAAACUCCUGUCGAGCGGGACGAACGGCCAGGGCCUAAUACGCCUUGGGAGUGACGGUACCGCUAAAGGAAGCCCCGGCUAACUCCGUGCCAGCAGCCGCGGUAAU